GAGACAUGGCAAUAGAGAUCGCUAAAGAGAACCCUAGAUACAUGGUAAAAGCUGGAAUUCACUUAAGGGAAAUACCAGAUGAGCAAGAGUGGACAGAAGAUUUGGAUAAGGUUUCCUUGAUGGAUAACACUAUAAUGGAAAUUUCACCUGGCACGUCGCCCAAGUGUCCUCGACUUUCAACAUUAAUUUUGAGUGGCAAUCCUUUGAAGAGGAUUCCAGAUCCUUUCUUUGUGCACAUGUGUCAUCUACGCACUAUCAAUUUAAGUCUCACUAAAAUUCAGAGCUUGCCAAAUUCUAUUUCAGACUUGGAGGAUCUUAGAACAUUAAAGCUGAAAUUUUGUAAUGAACUGGAAUCGAUGCCAUCCUUGGAAAAACUCAAGGAAUUGAGACAUUUGGACCUCACGGAAUAGGUAAGACAACUUUGGCAAUGCAUGUCCAUAAUAAGCUUUUAAAGGAAUCCACAUUCUUGGGUCAUGUUUAUUGGGUCACAGUUUCUCAAGAGUUCAGCAUUUACAAGUUGCAGAAUGAUAUUGCCCAUGUCUUGAAACUAUAUUUCUCAUGUGAGAAUGACGAGAGGAGAAGGGCAGCUGAACUCUUCCAAGCAUUCAAGGAGAGGGGGAGAUUUGUACUUAUAUUAGAUGAUGUCUGGAAUCAAAUUGACGCAGAGGAGAUUGGUAUUCCUUUAGGAAUGAAUGGAUGCAAGUUGGUCAUAACAAGUCGUUCUAGCGAAGUUUGUCAUUGGAUAGGUUGUCAGAAGAUUAUAAAAGUGAACACACUUUCCGAACAAGAAGCUUGGGAAUUAUUCUUGAAGAAACUUGGCAGAGUUGAACUUCAUCCACGAGUAGAAGGGAUUUGCAAGAAAAUGGUAAAAAGAUGUGGUGGUUUGCCACUUGCACUUGUCACAUUGGCUGGAAGCAUGAGGAGGGUUAGUGACAUUCAUGAAUGGAGAGAUGCAUCCGAAGGACUGGCAGAAUCAUGUAUGGGACGAGCCGGAAUGGAAUAUGUGGUUCUGCCAAUACUCUUAUAUAGUUAUGAUCGAUUAAGAGAUACAAUGCUAAAAGGUUGUUUCUUGCAUUGCUCCCUGUAUCCCGAAAACUGUCAUAUUCCAAGAGACGAAUUGAUUGAGAAUUUCAUUUCAGAACAGCUGGUGGAGAGAAGUUAUAGAAGCUUUAGAGCCGAGAUUGACCAAGGUCAUGCAAUACUGAACCAAUUGGAGAGAGUCUGCUUACUGGAAAAGACUUCAAAUGGUACAGAUGUGAAGAUGCAUGUUUUGAUUAGAGACAUGGCAAUAGAGAUCGCUAAAGAGAACCCUAGAUACAUGGUAAAAGCUGGACGAGAUUGACCAAGGUCAUGCAAUACUGAACCAAUUGGAGAGAGUCUGCUUACUGGAAAAGACUUCAAAUGGUACAGAUGUGAAGAUGCAUGUUUUGAUUAGAGACAUGGCAAUAGAGAUCGCUAAAGAGAACCCUAGAUACAUGGUAAAAGCUGGAAUUCACUUAAGGGAAAUACCAGAUGAGCAAGAGUGGACAGAAGAUUUGGAUAAGGUUUCCUUGAUGGAUAACACUAUAAUGGAAAUUUCACCUGGCACGUCGCCCAAGUGUCCUCGACUUUCAACAUUAAUUUUGAGUGGCAAUCCUUUGAAGAGGAUUCCAGAUCCUUUCUUUGUGCACAUGUGUCAUCUACGCACUAUCAAUUUAAGCCUCA
rnacentral:lncRNA from 1 species